CAAUUUUUCCGCAUUUUAAUCGCAUACGUUAACAGAAAUGCUGCCUGUUUUAUUGCUUGUAUUAUCAGUAAAUUGUCAAUAUAUAAAAAGCUCAAAUGAAGGUGUGAAUUAUGUGCCACGAAAAGGAAUAAUACCAGGAUAUCAGGUGCAACACAAAGAUUCUGAAUCAAGAUAUAUUGACGAUGUGGUACUGAUAAGACCAGAUAUAUUACGACUUAACAUUGAAGAUAAAGAUAAUGCUAAAAAGGAUGGUAGUAUUUCCUCAGAAAAAUCUAAUAAAGAUAGACAGAUUGAUAAUAGAAAGAGUUUAAGUGAAGCAAAUAGUUUUUUGAAUUUAAACGAUCCAGUCGCACUACAUGUGUUUCCGUUCUCUGAUCAAUAUAAACUCAAGCGAUUCAGCCCUCUAGGUCUUGGUGGUCUACCACCAAAACCAACAAGAAGACACGGGCUUAUGGGGUAACGUUAGAUUUAUCAUUUCAUAGUCAAGAUAAUAGACCACCCAGAGAUGAUGAUGACGAUGAUGUUUCUAAAGAAAUUCCAUUGGUUCAAAGGAUAUUGGACU